rnacentral:rRNA from 1 species
CUCUCGGGACUUCGGUUUCGGGGGAGUGGCGCACGGGUGAGUAGCGCGUGGGAACCUGCCCUGUUGUGGGGGAUAACCGAGGGAAACUUCGGCUAAUACCGCAUGCGCCCGAGACCUAGUCUUCGGAUGAGGCUUCGGGGAAAGAUUUAUCGCAGCAGGAGGGGCCCGCGUCGGAUUAGCUAGUUGGUGGGGUAACGGCCCACCAAGGCGACGAUCCGUAGCUGGUCUGAGAGGAUGAUCAGCCACACUGGGACUGAGACACGGCCCAGACUCCUACGGGAGGCAGCAGUGGGGAAUAUUGGACAAUGGGCGCAAGCCUGAUCCAGCAAUGCCGCGUGAGUGAUGAAGGCCUUAGGG